rnacentral:rRNA from 1 species
GAACGCUGGCGGCAGGCCUAACACAUGCAAGUCGAACGGUAACAGGAAGAAGCUUGCUUCUUUGCUGACGAGUGGCGGACGGGUGAGUAAUGUCUGGGAAACUGCCUGAUGGAGGGGGAUAACUACUGGAAACGGUAGCUAAUACCGCAUAACGUCGCAAGACCAACAAGGGGGACCUUCGGGCCUCUUGCCAUCGGAUGUGCCCAGAUGGGAUUAGCUAGUAGGUGGGGUAACGGCUCACCUAGGCGACGAUCCCUAGCUGGUCUGAGAGGAUGACCAGCCACACUGGAACUGAGACACGGUCCAGACUCCUACGGGAGGCAGCAGUGGGGAAUAUUGCACAAUGGGCGCAAGCCUGAUGCAGCCAUGCCGCGUGUAUGAAGAAGGCCUUCGGGUUGUAAAGUACUUUCAGCGGGGAGGAAGGGAGUAAAGUUAAUACCUUUGCUCAUUGACGUUACCCGCAGAAGAAGCACCGGCUAACUCCGUG